AGCGAACGCUGGCGGCAGGCCUAACACAUGCAAGUCGAACGAACCUUUCGGGGUUAGUGGCGGACGGGUGAGUAACACGUGGGAACGUGCCUUUAGGUUCGGAAUAACUCAGGGAAACUUGUGCUAAUACCGAAUGUGCCCUUCGGGGGAAAGGUUUAUCGCCUUUAGAGCGGCCGGCGUCUGAUUAGCUAGUUGGUUGAGGUAAUGGCUCACCAAGGCGACGAUCAGUAGCUGGUCUGAGAGGAUGAGCAGCCACCUUGGGGCUGAGACACGGCCCAAACUCUUACGGGAGGCAGCAGUGGGGAAUCUUGCGCAAUGGGCGAAAGCCUGACGCAGCCAUGCCGCGUGAAUGAUGAAGGUCUUAGGAUUGUAAAAUUCUUUCACCGGGGACGAUAAUGACGGUACCCGGAGAAGAAGCCCCGGCUAACUUCGUG
rnacentral:rRNA from 1 species